rnacentral:rRNA from 1 species
GACGAACCGUGCAAACGUUGUUCGGAAUCACUGGGCUUAAAGGGCGCGUAGGCGGCUUGCCACGUCAGGGGUGAAAUCUUUCGGCUUAACCGGAAAAGUGCCUCUGAUACUGGCGAGCUAGAGGGAGGUAGGGGCAUGUGGAACUUCCGGUGGAGCGGUGAAAUGCGUUGAUAUCGGAAGGAACGCCGGUGGCGAAAGCGACGUGCUGGAUCUCUUCUGACGCUGAGGCGCGAAAGCUAGGGGAGCGAACGGG